rnacentral:tRNA from 1 species
GAGGAUAUAGCUCAGUGGUAGAGUACAUGCUUAGCAUGCACAAGGUCCUAGGUUCAAUCCCUGGUACCUCCA